rnacentral:rRNA from 1 species
AUUGAACGCUGGCGGCAGGCUUAACACAUGCAAGUCGAGCGGUAGCACAAGAGAGCUUGCUCUCUGGGUGACGAGCGGCGGACGGGUGAGUAAUGUCUGGGAAACUGCCUGAUGGAGGGGGAUAACUACUGGAAACGGUAGCUAAUACCGCAUAACGUCGCAAGACCAAAGAGGGGGACCUUCGGGCCUCUUGCCAUCAGAUGUGCCCAGAUGGGAUUAGCCAGUAGGUGGGGUAAUGGCUCACCUAGGCGACGAUCCCUAGCUGGUCUGAGAGGAUGACCAGCCACACUGGAACUGAGACACGGUCCAGACUCCUACGGGAGGCAGCAGUGGGGAAUAUUGCACAAUGGGCGCAAGCCUGAUGCAGCCAUGCCGCGUGUGUGAAGAAGGCCUUCGGGUUGUAAAGCACUUUCAGCGAGGAGGAAGGUGGUGAACUUAAUACGUUCAUCAAUUGACGUUACUCGCAGAAGAAGCACCGGCUAACUCCGUG